AAUUGAUGAAAAGCGAGAAAUUUGAGUCGAAAAUAACGAGUCAGGCAAAUGUAUCACAUUACUUGGGGACGGCGGAGAGGACGAAAUAACCGUCGUGACGCGGAGGAUCGAAGAUGAGAAGCUGCCGCGACUGUGGCGGGAGAGAGAGCAAAUGCCGUCGUUGUUCGACCAAUGAGAAACCGCUUUGGACUUGAGUCAGUUUGGUUUUCUUCAUAUAUAGAAGCCGCUUGGAAGCAGAUGAGGGUCGUCAUGCCAGCUUACCCAGGGGAACUUUUGUCAUUUCAACUUAAUAUUUAUCUUACUCAGCAAUAAGUUAUACUUUAUAUUGCACAUGUUGUACUUUGGAGAGAGAGUUUUCCCAAAUUGCAUAAAAGUCUCAUCUACUUUUCUUCUUUGUGAUUCAGAUUAUUAUUUUCGUGUAUUCCCUGUAGUGUUCAUGCCCAUCUUCUCUUGCUGUGGAGUAACCCCUUCACCAGAUGGAUUAGCUGGAAUGUUUGCGGUUGCAGUAUAAAUAAAACAUUCAUCAAGGAAAAAGGUAAUGCUCUGACAUUUUAGUAAUAAUAUGCUCAAAAGUAUAAGACUGAACCACAUAUGCUCUUCUACAUGACGGCUGAUGGCCUUUCAGGCUUUCCUUACUUGGUUUGAACAUAAAAACGUAUAGUUGCUUUAGCUGCAUUUUUAGCAGUUCAUGUUACUUCAGAUGAGUACACAUACUUCUCACACUUGAAUACACAUUUCAUAUGUUCUGCUCAUCAAGAGAAGCACAGCUCUUUCGUUUGCUCUCUAUUCUCAAUUUGAAUUACUGGAAUCGUGCUAUGGUCGAAGUUUGUGAGGUCGCCAGUUUUAUGACCGUUAUGCUAAUAUGCAACACCAUAAAAGGUUAAAUAAAUCUCAGAAAUGAUUUGAAAUGCUGAUCAGUCAACCACUUAUAAUGGAGAAAGACCAGAAUCAUAUAAAAAACUGAAUCUAACGGUAAACAUUCUUUUUUUUUCCUUCAAAAAAACCACUCAAGUCCCCACUAUGGGACCUUGAAGGUGGAUUUUAUAUCAUCAAAGAUUGGUACAGUUAGACGAGGGCAAACCAAGCCUCUGAAAGUGUUACAUCAGCUACAAUUAGUUCAUUUGAAUAAGGUACCUCGGUACUGGUGCUUUAUGUUAUUCGGACUGUCCGAAAAUGUCAUCAGGUGAGUGUCAGAUCCUCCAAAAGUAGUGUAUUUUUGAAGGAUACAGCAUUUUGGAGAGUAUGAGCAAUGUAGCUGAAAAGAAUUAACACAAUACUUCAUUAUGUCCUGUAAUUAUGGUGCGAUCCCAAAAGGACAAGAAUCAUAAUUGUAGAAAAAGCUUGGCAGGAUAAGCGAGAGUUUUCUAUUUAUUUUUUCUUUUUAAUUCUAAACUUUGAAAGUUGUUUACCUUAAGAACAUCUAUAGUUUAAGAAAAAGCUAUAAUUCAGGGUGACAAGGGAAUAACUAAUAAGAGUUGUAAGGUCGGGGAUUGGGUCUACAUUAUUAGGCACAUGAUUGGCAACUGAUUUCCAGAAGUUAGUUUUAACAACUUAUUUUCCUCUACUGCCCUUUGUAUAAAUAAUAAUUAGUUGAUUGUAAAGACAUUCAGUUUGUGAUGGAUCAAUAAAAGUCUUCUCCUCUUUUCUUUAAA